rnacentral:lncRNA from 1 species
AACUCAGGGGUGCUCGACUCAACCACUGAGCCACAUCCCCAGCCCUAUUCUGUAUUUUACUUAGAGACAGAGUCUCAUUGAGUUGCUUAGCGCCUCGAUUUUGCUGAGGCUGACUUUGAACUCUGAUCCUCCUGCCUCAGCCUCCUGAGCUGCUGGGAUCACAGGCGUGCACGGCCACACCCAGCACUUGGAUUCUGUUUAACAACACUAAUCUCUUCAGCAACCACACCAUCAACUCGGUCUCACACUCUCAGGGCAUGGACUAAAUAAAUACAAACACAUUCUUUGCUAGAAUGCAAUAAGAAUGGCCUCUAUUCUAAUUCCCAGCAGAGGCCUCACUUCCAUCUGAAAACCCAUGAAUCUGGACUUGACUGUCUACACUCAGCAUCCUGCUUUUCUGAGCUCCCAUAAGAACUGCCCAUUAAGUUCUGCUUAAGUUCUCAGCUGUCUCUAGCCUGUUUCUCCAAACUUCUGCAAACCAAUUUCAAAGGCUUCUGAAUCACACCCUAAGCUGUAGUCACAGCACUGACCCCACUUCUUGGAACCAAUAUUCUGUAUUAGCUUUCUGUCAUUAUGACAAAAUGCCUGAGAUAAUCAACUUACAAGGAGAAAAGAUAUAUUUUGGUUUAUAGUUUCAGAGGUUUCAGUCCAUGGUUGCUUGCUCCCUUCCCUUUGGGCCUAUGGGGAGGCGGAACAUCAUGGUGAUGAGCUUUAGAAGAGCAGAGCUGCUCGCCUCACAGUGGCCAGGAAGGAAAAGAGGGAGGGAGGGAGGAGAAAAAGAGAGGGGGAAGGGGUAG